rnacentral:rRNA from 1 species
CGGACGGGUGAGUAACACGUGGAUAACCUACCUAUAAGACUGGGAUAACUUCGGGAAACCGGAGCUAAUACCGGAUAAUAUAUUGAGCCGCAUGGUUCAAUAGUGAAAGACGGUUUUGCUGUCACUUAUAGAUGGAUCCGCGCCGCAUUAGCUAGUUGGUAAGGUAACGGCUUACCAAGGCAACGAUGCGUAGCCGACCUGAGAGGGUGAUCGGCCACACUGGAACUGAGACACGGUCCAGACUCCUACGGGAGGCAGCAGAA